UCUUCCCAACCCAGUUAUCAAACCUGGGUCUCCCGCUUUGCAGGGUCUGGAGGUAAGUCAUUCUACUGCUAGCCUUGAAGAAGUAAGAAGUAAGAGUUCUGCAGCCACAAAGAAGUGAAUUCUUCCAACAACCAUGUAUACUUCAAAGAGGACCCCAAGCCUCAGGCGAGACCCCAGCCCUGAACUGGCACUUUGAUUGUAGUUUUGUGAGACCCUGGAGCAGAGAACUCAGUUUUAACUAAGGGACAUACUUGAGCUGGCUUUUGUGGAGGGGGUGUUCCUGGAUAUGGGGGCACGCUUGGAUACAAGGAAGAAGCACCAGGCAACUUGGGAGCUGUGGGAGUUCUGAAGCCAAAAGCCAGUCUUUUUCACUGGGCUAAAGUCAUGGUGUCAGCAAGGCUGGUUUCUUCCAGAAGCUGCCCACCUUCCUUGGCUGUGGCUACAUCACAUGGUCCCCGCUGCUGGUACCACAGGGCCUGCUUCUCUUUGACCUUCUUGCUGCCUCCUUCUAAGGCCCCUUGUGAUUACAUGUAGGGUCCACGUGGAUAAUCCAGGCUGAUCUCCCCGUCUUAAGAUCCUAAUCACAUGUGUAGAUCUCUUUUGCCGCAUAAGGUAAUAUUCACAGGCUCUGGGGCUUAGGAGGUGAAUAUUUUCAGGGGAAGAGAGGAUUCUUUAACACUGGGAGCCAUAUUCUUUGUUCUUGAAUUGGAAGCAGUUGACACACAGCUGUUGUUGGCUGGGGACUUGGGAAUUUAGGGAGGAGGGCUAGGACAAGUAACCCUCACUAGUCCUCAGUCUCUGAAAAACGAGAUAACCUGGGGUGUUUGUUGGGAAGAAGGCAAGACAUCUUUUCUCUCUCUGCCAUAAUAAAUGUCAUCCAAGUUGAAUUAACAUUGUAUUGUUUCUUUGGGCAGCGAACUGAAUGUAAAAAGAAGUUAUAUUAAUCCAGCAAGUCAAAGGGAAGUGUCUGUUUUAAGGCCCAACCUUCAUAAGAUAAAAUGUUCAGUUAGCUAGAGUGAAGAGGAUAAAUAAGAUUUAAUGUCUUCAACAUUAGCAGUAAGUUUUUGCUGUUUAAAGUUUGAAAAGUUCCUGAGUCUUUAUUCUAAAUUCCAAUCUUUGGUUUUAACUGUGUCAUUCAACUGCAUGGAAACCCAAAAUAAUGUUAGCAGAAAAGCAUGAGAACAAAGAAGGCUGAUUUUUUCACAGGCAGUGCGCCCAGAUGAAGA